rnacentral:rRNA from 1 species
GAUGAACGCUGGCGGCGUGCCUAAUACAUGCAAGUAGAACGCUGAAGGAGGAGCUUGCUCUUCUGGAUGAGUUGCGAACGGGUGAGUAACGCGUAGGUAACCUGCCUGGUAGCGGGGGAUAACUAUUGGAAACGAUAGCUAAUACCGCAUGACAACAGUUAUUGCAUGAUAACUGUUUAAAAGGGGCAACUGCUCCACUACCAGAUGGACCUGCGUUGUAUUAGCUAGUUGGUGAGGUAACGGCUCACCAAGGCGACGAUACAUAGCCGACCUGAGAGGGUGAUCGGCCACACUGGGACUGAGACACGGCCCAGACUCCUACGAGAGGCAGCAGUAGGGAAUCUUCGGCAAUGGACGGAAGUCUGACCGAGCAACGCCGCGUGAGUGAAGAAGGUUUUCGGAUCGUAAAGCUCUGUUGUAAGAGAAGAACGAGUGUGAGAGUGGAAAGUUCACGCUGUGACGGUAUCUUACCAGAAAGGGACGGCUAACUACGUG